rnacentral:rRNA from 1 species
UACGGAGGAUCCGAGCGUUAUCCGGAUUUAUUGGGUUUAAAGGGUGCGUAGGCGGUUUGAUAAGUUAGAGGUGAAAUGUCGGGGCUCAACCCCGAAACUGCCUCUAAUACUGUUGGACUAGAGAGUAGUUGCGGUAGGCGGAAUGUAUGGUGUAGCGGUGAAAUGCUUAGAGAUCAUACAGAACACCGAUUGCGAAGGCAGCUUACCAAACUAUAUCUGACGUUGAGGCACGAAAGCGUGGGUAGCAAACAGG